rnacentral:tRNA from 1 species
GCGGGUUUAGCUCAGUUGGUAGAGCAUCAGCUUCCCAAGCUGAAGGUCACGGGUUCGAACCCCGCAACCCGCUCCA